rnacentral:rRNA from 1 species
UAGGGAAUCUUCGGCAAUGGGGGGAACCCUGACCGAGCAACGCCGCGUGAGUGAAGAAGGUUUUCGGAUCGUAAAGCUCUGUUGUUAAGGAAGAAUGAGUGUGAGAAUGGAAAGUUCAUACUGUGACGGUACUUAACCAGAAAGGGACGGCUAACUACGUGCCAGCAGCCGCGGUAAUACGUAGGUCCCGAGCGUUGUCCGGAUUUAUUGGGCGUAAAGCGAGCGCAGGCGGUUAGAUAAGUCUGAAGUUAAAGGCAGUGGCUCAACCAUUGUAGGCUUUGGAAACUGUUUAACUUGAGUGCAGAAGGGGAGAGUGGAAUUCCAUGUGUAGCGGUGAAAUGCGUAGAUAUAUGGAGGAACACCGGUGGCGAAAGCGGCUCUCUGGUCUGUAACUGACGCUGAGGCUCGAAAGCGUGGGGAGCGAACAGG